rnacentral:rRNA from 1 species
CUACGGGGUGCAGCAGUAAGGAAUAUUGCGCAAUGGAGGCAACUCUGACGCAGCCAUGCCGCGUGCAGGACUGAAGGCCUUAUGGGUCGUAAACUGCUUUUAUUUAGGAAUAAACUUUCGUACGUGUACGAGACUGAAGGUACUAAAUGAAUAAGCACCGGCUAACUCCGUGCCAGCAGCCGCGGUAAUACGGAGGGUGCAAGCGUUAUCCGGAUUUAUUGGGUUUAAAGGGUGCGCGGGCGGACUAUUAAGUCAGAGGUGAAAUCCCGGAGCUCAACUUCGGAACUGCCUUUGAUACUGGUAGUCUUGAAUACGGUUGAAGUAGGCGGAAUGUAGCAUGUAGCGGUGAAAUGCAUAGAGAUGCUACAGAACACCGAUCGCGAAGGCAGCUUACUAAGCCGAUAUUGACGCUCAGGCACGAAAGCGUGGGGAGCAAACAGGAUUAGAUACCCGCGUAGUC